UACGUUGUCAUAAUUGUUAGAAAAUAAUGUUAAGGGGAAAUAUGCUUCAUUAUUUAAAACUUUUAUGCCUAAUUCUUUGUGCAAUGUGAUGAAUUGUACGUUCAUAUGUAACUGUUUUUAGGGUUGGGUUUUUACAUUUUUACAGACACUUCCAUGUAUGAAUAAUUAGUUUAAAGAGGACUAAAUCUGCUGAAAAUGAAGGUGAUUUCUUACAAUAUUAUAUCCAAGAAUCUGAAAUUAAUAAGAAUAAGAACUGAUUGGGAGAUAUUAGUGAUCAUUAGCACAUGUUUUGAAGUCAAAUGUUUGUUGAUGAGAUAAAUUCCCCUUAUUUAAGUAUCUUUAAGUAUCUCAAAAACUCAACUCUUGUGAAUCAGUUAAUUAAGGAAAAUCCAUUGGUUUAAUUGAUCACUCAACCCCAUGCUGCUCUAAUCUAAUCAUGUGUAAAGGGCAAAAGAGUCAGCUUGUAUGUUGUACAGUCAGGGGUCAUGAAUGAACAUUAUCUGACAAGCUGCAUAAAGAUAUUAGCUCUCAAUCAUGAAACAGGAUAGAUAGAUCAAUCUGAAAGUGUUAGAAUACAUCUAACAUUAAAAGUUACCAAAUAAAGAGAGAAAAUCACAGAGAAUUACCUUAUAUCAUGAUCUUAAAAUGCUCAGUUUUUAUUGAGACUACCUUUUUACUAGUUUUUGUUUUGAGUCUGCUCUUUGGUCAAUUUUGAGGCUGCACUUUGUCGUACUGUUGGAAUAGAUUGUAUUAUAUAUAUUAUUAAUGUUGUUUCUAGUUUUUUGUUAUUGAACCUAGGAGGAGCAGAACCUUUAGAAUACACUGCAGUCCAACACAACAAUAACAACAACAGCACAAACUACCAACUCAAAAGCAAGUCGAAUCAACAUAUGCAGUUAAACUGAUGUUCCUACAGAAGGUAUUAAUACAGAUAAAGUACAACAUUUUGGAUAUUUUUUUAAAUCAAAUUACAUGAGGCACAAACGUAUCACUAACUCUCUGUGGGUUCAAACUUUCCAUCAUGUUGCAUUUGUAGCAGAAUAACAAGACUCUAAAGUACCAUGAACUUCCACCAGAGGGCAGGGAUUGAUUGGUUAUUGUUCAUGUAUUGACAUGAUGCAUGGUUUAAACAGAUAUUUACUCAGUUUAAUAGCUGUUUCACAAAGGCUAUAUUUGAGCCUGAACACAAAAUGGAUCAUUGAAAAAUGAUUCAUGCUGAUUUAACCUUAGCUAAUUUAUUUUAGUUAAAUCUCAAACUCUAAUAAAUUCUCAGUAGGCAAAUGUAUACCCUGGAGACAAAAAGCAUUACUAUUUGGCACGGUUAUUGCAAAAGAUCAGGUUCAUUAUUUGAAGCAUAUAUGCACUCUCAAUAUUUAGACGAGCAAAGAUAAAUCUACAAAUGCUGCUUUUGUUUUCCUGACAAUACAACCUGGAUUUGGGUUAUUUUUUCCUUUGUAUGUUUUUGUUAUUUGUUUAUUUUUUGUUUGUUUAUGUGGCUACUGUCUUGUAUAAAAAUCACAUAAAUAAAAUACCUUAAAAAGACUAAGAGUCUACAUCCAUUGUCUAUAAUACUUCUCAAUAAUACUUAGGCACUUGUUCUUAGUUUAGGGAUCACCAAUGUUAUAUUUUUAUCC